GGUUCGUUAGCCGAGUGGUUAGGCAUCGGUCUGCAAAACCGGGUACGGCGGUUCGAAUCCGCCACGAACCU
rnacentral:tRNA from 1 species